rnacentral:rRNA from 1 species
CGGACGUAGGUAACCUGCCUGGUAGCGGGGGGUAACUAUUGGAAACGAUAGCUAAUACCGCAUAAGAGUAGAUGUUGCAUGACAUUUGCUUAAAAGGUGCAAUUGCAUCACUACCAGAUGGACCUGCGUUGUAUUAGCUAGUUGGUGGGGUAACGGCUCACCAAGGCGACGAUACAUAGCCGACCUGAGAGGGUGAUCGGCCACACUGGGACUGAGACACGGCCCAG